UACGGGGGGGGCAAGCGUUGUUCGGAAUUACUGGGCGUAAAGGGCUCGUAGGUGGCCAACUAAGUCAGACGUGAAAUCCCGCGGCUUAACCGGGGAACUGCGUCUGAUACUGGAUGGCUAGAGUUUGGGAGAGGGAUGCGGAAUUCCAGGUGUAGCGGUGAAAUGCGUAGAUAUCUGGAGGAACACCGGUGGCGAAGGCGGCAUCCUGGACCAACACUGACGCUGAGGAGCGAAAGCCAGGGGAGCAAACGGG
rnacentral:rRNA from 1 species